rnacentral:rRNA from 1 species
UAGGCGAGGUACGUGAGCGCGGGUUAGGGUAGGAGAGGGCAGGGCGAGGUGUGGUCGACGGUGUGUUGGGAUCGGGGAAUGGGUAGUUAGGGGUGUCGGGGAGGGAGGAGGAGCGAGGACCGGUACCGGAGGUGGGAUCCUCGGAGCGGUGCCGGAGGAUGAGGGGGAGGUGGUGGCAUGUACGUGUGUCUGCCGCCACGGCCUCUUCUCGUCGAGGUCAGUACCACCCCACGCCGACACUAUCUCUCCUUGCUCCAGGCGGCGGGCAGAAACAGAGGAACGACGGGAAACAACGGCUAGGAGGAGAGAGGGAAGUGGGGAUCGUCGUAUCGUCAGUCCCUGUUCCCCUUCCUCGUCCAGCUGGGCUGAGAUAGAGAGACGUGCUCCUGAUCUCCUCGUUCACCGCUCCCUUCGGCAGUGCCGGUCGCUGCCGCGACGUGUCCCUGCAGGCGGAGACCAAAAGACAGGACAGAGGGCUAGGGGAAAGCAAAUCCACUCAACUCAAGACCGAACCAACCUCUACAACUACUCCGGGCGACCUAAGUAGGAAAAGCUCCAAGACUUGUUCCCGUUCGAGCUGUUCCAGCUCCCCAUAUACCUGGCGUUUACUACACUAUAUGAACCAACAAAGUUGUACUCAUGCCGAGUCAUCCUUCCAGUUGGCACCCCUCCGCGUUGUAUCGCGCCGGAGUCGGUUAAUCCGAACAACGUUCGGAGUCGAUCUAGUUUAUCACCCGGAAGAUAUAUAUAGAAGGACAGCUGGUCUUCUUUGUUAUGUAGUUAGGAAACGGAGGAAGAAAGAACGAGUCUAGGGUACUAUGUUGGAGCCGCCGACCGGUCGCUUAUUGUCACGUGGUGGCUACCACUUUUAUGGAGUGUCCUACUACAACCUGUAAGAAUAUGUUUGAAGUCCGGAUGACCACCGACUUAGCUUCAUUUUACACUAUCACCGUACUACUCUGGUACAGUCUUAAGAACAACGAUACCUUCGUUUUCCUAAGUACUUUGGGUGCCACUUUUGUCUCUUUUCUAUGAUGUUAAUGUCAUCGUACCUCUUUGGCUCCUGUGCUUUACUCAGACUUCUUACGAUACCGACUAAGCAAGAUCGAUCCAUGUACGUUCGAAGAGAAUGUAUAUACGUUGCAUUGUUGCACUUACUGAUCUUGAUAACACUACAACGAGAUAACAUUAAGUGCAACAUUAAGUUCUCAACACAUAGUCACUGGCGUAUGUGUUCUGUUAGAACUUAUAAAACAACCCAGAUACAAAGAUACAUGACCUCAAAUCCAAUAGUGAAUGAAUGGUUUCUAGACAGAUCCAACACAUGACUUCCCCGUAACUUCUACGUCGCCUCCAUUCAGUGAAUAAGCGAAACGACUUGCUUCUACGCCUCCUUACUCUUCUUCAUUACUGCUGUGACAGGCUGGCUAUAAACCUGUUAUGAGACUUAGAUUGGCACGUACUCAUCCUCGUUGACAGUAUCUCGACGACCUAAUUUUAUAUAUAUGGGCGAUUUUGGUACAACCGCUACUUUUAUCAAAGAAAAUCAUUCCUGUAUAAGCUGGGUACAAAUUUACCCCAAACGCUAUAUGGCAACCUUUCGAUACCUGUGCUUGUAGUACUGGAUUCAACUUAAAAAC